UGACUAUCAAACAUGUGGUUGUUCAUCGAUCGCUCCUCUUGUUCAUCUUCCUGUUCUCCGUUUGUCAUCGUCAUCAAGGUACUAUUUCUGUUCUUCCCAUGCUUUCUCCUGGAUGUUUGUGUGUUGAUUUUUGAUUCAUGCGUCUCUCAGUUCAUUGACGCUCAUGAGGUGUUUGCUUUUAUGUUCGCGGUUUCUUUUUCUUCAGAAAAUGCACUGCUCAGUUCAUCGUCAGGCUUGGUUCACUGUUCCAUCUGCUCGGUGGUUCCUCUCUGUCCUUCAGGUACGAUUUGCAUCGCUUUUAAGUGGUUGAGUUUGUUGUUCUCUUUCUUAUAUGAGAUUUGUAGCAGUAAGUAGUUGAGUUCAAACCAACUGUCAGGCUCUCUACUGCUCAAUGAAAAACUGCUAACUAAAUGAAAAAUGCAAUGAAAACUGAUUAAAAGUACACCACUAAGAUAUUGGCUCAAACCAACUGUCAGGCUCUCUACCACAAGAUAUUGGCUCUAUGCUUCCGAACCUAAAAAAGUUAAGUGUAUUCUACAACAAAUUUGAAGGCCAGAUUCCUGCCUCCUUGUCAAAUAUAUGUUCUCUUGAACAUCUCUCUCUGUAUGGGAAUGGAUUUCGUGGCCGAAUCCCAUCAAAUAUUGGCCAAAGUGGAUAUUUGACUGUAUUUGAAGUACUAAUAAUGAGCUCCAGGCUACAGAGUCAAGGGAUUGGGAUUUUCUGACCUCCUUGGCUAACUGCAGUAGCUUAUCUGUUGUAGAUCUUCAACUGAAUAAUCUAUGAGGGAUUUUGCCAAAUAGCAUCGGUAAUCUCUCACAAAAACUUGAAACUCUUCAAGUAGGAGGAAACCAAAUUGCUGGACAUAUACCUACAGGAAUAGGAAGAUAUUACAAACUCACGAAGCUUGAGUUUGCAGAUAACCUCUUCAUAGGAACCAUACCUUCAGAUAUUGGAAAGCUAUUCAACCUAAGAAAAUUGUUUCUAUUUCAGAAUAGAUACCAAACGGAGAUUCCAUUGUCACUAGGCAACAUGUCACAACUAUAGAUUUCAGAACAGAUAUCAAAGCUUGCGUUAUUGGAAUAAGAAAACAAACGCGUAUACAAUAACAUAAAACAGUAUAGAUAUUUUGUUAAACCAUAAUAACAAAUUCGUUACAAAGUGUGUGAAUAUGACUCGAUCAUAACAAAUUUCAUAAGAAAGUGGUUGUUGCUUAAUAUAGUAUGUGGUUGUCAUGAUUUACUUGGUCGCAAAAUUAGGCCACUGAACUUACGUUGCAGUAUAUUUUCUCAGGAUUUGGUAUCAUCGAUUGAUAAUCGACUUUGGCUCGUUGUUUGAUGUGCUGAGCCUAUUGACUCUACGGUUUAGGUGCUCUUUCCACUCUUUUUAUCUGCCUUGAGUUGCUUCUUCUUAGAUUGUGUAUACUUAUUCGCAUUUAUUUUCCUUUGAGCAUAUGUUAUAUUUGUGCACAUCAAAAAACAAGGAACAUGAAUUUCACUGAUCUUGCUAACGAUCGUGCUGCUCCACACAGUCAAUCCGUUUCUCGAAGUCAUAAGAGAGUGGGAGCACGCGUCACCUUGUUUCGAAGUGCGUUACAAUUUGACACGCUCAUAGAUUAUUAUUGUGGUAGGAACAUUACAUUGUGUGUGAUGUGAACUUAUGUGUAAAUCACCUGUUUAGGCGCUUUGAGUAAUGUGCCUCGAUCAUCAUCCUCUAGUGCAAAUAGAUCAUUUAUGGGUAAGGAUCAUCGGUAUUCUAAUUAAAAGCUAUUGACGUAGUACCCUUUUAACACAUAUUACACCGUAGGUGUUGGUUUUAAGCACUGCUCGGAGAUAGGGAUGGCAAUUUUGCUCAUGGAUUCGGAUAUCCACGGAUACCCGGCCUAGUUGGGCAAGGGUAUGGAGCGCAUUUUAGUCCAUGAAUUCAGGGAUUUGGAUACCCGCAAAUAGACGGGUUGAGCACGGUUAUGAUUUCUGCUCCAUGGAUAUCCAGUGGAUACCCAUAUAAUAGAUAGAUCCAUAUAAUAGUGACAAUGGGCUAAGCAAAUGUCCAACCCAAGUCGUUUGGGGUCAAAAAAUGUGAAAACCCGGACCAUGCUCAUGUUCCCUAAUCCCCGCAACCUAAUUAUUAAACCUAAUUUAGUCCGGCUACCUUGCGUCAACCCACAUCUCGUCAUCCCCAACCCCAAUCCUCCCGAGACAGGUCGUGCUCCUCCCUCAGUCCCUCCAUAUAAUCGCGACGGUGGCAGUGCCGAGCGCCACAAUCGUCGCCCCACCUAUCCCUGAUUGUCCACCUCAUACUAGUGACCGGCGACCGGCGGCUAACAUCGGCAGCCGGACUCGGUGACCAGCCUCGGUGUCACGCAUCAGCGACCAACAUAUCGGCGACAGGCAGACGAGAACAAACCAUGGUAUGUGAUCUCCACGCGACCAAUCUCACUCCCUCGACAACCAGCAUCGGGGACGUCCUUGGCGACCGGCACGCCCAAAUCCACUCCCUCUGUGGCUCUCUCCUUCCCCAAUCCGCGACCAAUCUCACUCCCUCUCAUUCCCUUAGCAACAACCAUGGACAACGGCCUCGGGGACUGGCAUGCCCCGUCCCACUCCCUCUAUCCUUCCCCAAUAUACGACCAAUCUCAUCCUUAGCAAACUGCUUUUUUGUUUGUCUGACAGGAGCCAACCUUCAAUGGAAGGGGGCAAGAGUAGAAAUGGCGUCAAUCAUGGGAAGGGCAAGGGAGGUACUAUUAGCUUCCCGCGGAGGAGUUUGUGUGGUCGGCAACCAGUAGUUGAGUCGCCGUGCACCGGCGAGCAGCAGGGUGUCGACGGUAACACCAUCAUCAGUGAAAAUGGUUAUUUCUAUAGUUUUUACAACUCAAUGUUCUCCUUGCUUGUGAUCUACAGUGUACUUGCUGCUUACUUAUGCAUGUAGUUUAUGUUGUCAUUUGAGAAUGAGUAAUGAUGAGUUAAUUUCAUCUUUGGGAAGGUGUCAUGUUGAUAUUUUAUGCCCAUGGAGCUCCAUGGGUAUAUGGAUAUCCAAUGGGUUUGGGCAUGGGCACAAAUUGUGUCCAUGAAUACUUUGGUGGAUAGGCAGAAGAUAUGAAGAUGGGUCAUGGGUUGUACUUGGACCAGCUCCACCCGCACCAAACCCGACCCAUUGCCAUCCCCAGAGAAAAUAGUUUAGGAAUGAUAGAUGUUUGGAAAUGACAAUAACAUUGUUGUAACUUAAAAGAGUGUUGCUCUGACAUUGAACCAUUCAUUUGUAGCCUAUUGUUUUAAAGUUAUUUAAUCUAUAAUAUGUAAUCGCUCUCAAGUUCAUAUGUAACAACCAAGAUAGGUUAUGGUUUUCUGGUGCAUUAUUGAAAUUUUGCUGAACUUUCUGAAUGUAUAAUGUUAAUACCACAAUUGCUUUCACAAGUAAUAUUGUCCAUGGAUAUCCUGUACUUUUCUUAGUUAUUUUAUUCCAUUUUUUCUCCUUGUGUUGAGCGGUUUUGUGAACCGUGAGAAAGUAAUAUUGUCCAUGGAUAUCCUAUACGUAAGAAUCAAAAUAUAUAUAAUUUUUCUUGCUCAUGCAUCUAUCAUAUUAUGUGUCCUAAGUCUGAAUCUCCUGAUCAGUCAAGUCAUGUUGCCUUGUGAUCUUUUUUUGAGUCAAUCAGUCUCAGGUCUCAGCUUGUGACAAUAAAAGAUAUUUCUAUAUUGAUCCACAACACUUUACAAAAAAGUAUACAUAACAUUGUGUGCUAAAAAUGCAAAGUAGUCACUUUUACUUCUUGGUUCAAAUUCCUUUUUCGCACCAUUUGACGCGAUAUGCCAUCUAUGUUUUAAGGAAAAGAUGGCACUAGAGUGAUAGCAGGUGUGAUUAGGAAUUGGGUGGAAACAAGCAUACUACUUGGAGUACCAUCUUCUUCUUGAACGAAUUUUAACUAUGCGGUUUAUUUACUUAUUAAUUUUCUUGUGGACUUUCACGUCCAGGUGCAGCUUUUAUCAAUAUAAACAUGGCUAUGUUAGAAGAUGGUGCAUGAAAUGUUCAUGAUGCUCUCAGGUUAUUUGAAUUCAAACUUUUAUUAGUAGUUACACAAGCUGACACUUACAAUGGUGUUCAGCUCCUAUGAUGGAUACUUCUACUGCAGAACUUACGACCUCGAUGCUAGAAGAUUCUUAACCGUUAAUUUGAUUUUUAGAAUUUUACAUGUUGACCUUUCAGGAUUAUUUCAGUGCCUUCUAGAGAUUAAGUUCAUGUUUAAUCCAUAGAUGGUGCAAACCUUUGAGUUGCUAGAUUGGAUGUGUUGCUUGGUUUUGGUAUAUGAGAUCUCUUAUGCUGAAAUAAUGUGGUGCUUUGCUAACUAAUGGUGUUUUUUUGCAUUUGUUAGGAAAAAACUUUUGUUACAACCGUUGGUUUAUUUUUACUGGAGAUAAAAUGUAUGUGAACUCGUGAAAAUAAUCGCACAGGAGGUGUAUUUGUUGGAAAUAUGCCCUAGAGGCAAUAAUAAAUUAGUUACUAUUGUAUUUCCUUUUUCAUGAUAAUCGUUUAUUAUCCAUGCUAUAACUGUAUUGAUUGGAAACACAAAUACACGUGUGGAUACAUAGACAACACACUGUCCCUAGUGAGCCUCUAAGGACUACCUCGUUGAUCAAAGAUGGUCAAGGUUUUCUGACCAUAGACAUGAGUUGUUAUUUGAUAAUGGGGUCACAUCAUUAGGAGAAUGAUGUGAUGGACAAGACCCAAACUAUAAACAUAGCAUGUGACCGUGUCAGUUUAUUGCUAAUGUUUUCUGCAUGUCAAGUAUCUGUUUCUAUGACCAUGAGAUCAUGCAACUCUCGGGCACCGGAGGAAUGCCUUGUGUGUAUCAAACAUCACAGCGUAACUGGGUGACUAUAAAGAUGCUCUACAGGUAUCUUCGAAGGUGUUUGUUGGGUUGCGUGAACCA
rnacentral:lncRNA from 1 species